UCAGCCUACUGAGCCACCCAGGAGCCCCACGAAUCCUAUUUUAAAUGGAGCUGGGUAGUUAGGAGGAUGUGCACCCCUGCAUAAACACGGCACAUCUGAAGUAAUGGAAUAUUUCCAUCUCAUACGUGAAUUUUUCUGUUUCUCUUCUCAGUAAGUCUCUUGCUACCACAUCCAGGGAACAACUGAAUUUUAUGACAGAGUGGAUUUAUUGUUUAUAGAUUUAUAAUACGUAAAUUGAAUUACGCAGAUCCCAGGUCUGUAUUGCCUGCUGUCCAAGAUCUGACCGUAUUUGCACCUGAAAGUUUUCCAGUUUUCUACCUCUUUGCUUGAGAGAAGAAAAAUCUUCAACCUUCUAGUCACAAGGUCAGCGGGGUGUGCAGUAUUUUUCCCUUGACCUUUUUGUCAUCUCCCUCGAUGUGGAAGAAGCUGGAAAGCCCGCACACAAGAUCUACGAUCGCCAUUAUUACGUUUCUCAGAAGAAGGAACUCUUGAGGUAUAGUUGCCUCCUGGGGACAGCAGACAUGAUAUCAAGAUUCAGAGGACAUUACUGUCUUAUUUCUGUCCGGCCCACUGAGCGGCAGAACGCACAUCCUGUAGCAAAGCAAUGCCCACAAAGGGAUAGACUCCAGGUGGCCACAUUUCCCUAAUUCAGGUGGGACAUUGUUCCCCGGAUCCAUUGUUCCGUGGAGCUGGCUGAUGGUGGGAGCUUGUUUUCCUCUGGGCUUGGUCCCUGAAAGCAGGAAGUGAGCUGUUUAUCCAGACAAUGCAAAGAAACAGAAACAAAGGAUCCGGGUAUCUGAGUACACGUUUUCUUUUUCAAAUGAUGGGAAAUACAAAAACAGCAACACAUUUUGCUCUGAGGGGAAAUAGAACCAAAAAUUUCAAGGCCACCUGCUGUAAAUGAACUCACAGCACAACUAGCAGCUGUAAGAGUGGCUUAGGAGGAAGUUUUCUAGAAAAAAAUAAAGUUUUGGUCAAAACUCCUUUGCA
rnacentral:lncRNA from 1 species